AAUGUGCUUCUCCUCUCCUCUCCACCCUCCUUUUAAUGAGCUUGAUCUUUUCUAAUUAACUCAAUUCAUUCCUCAUUCUGUUAUCUACUGAUACAAAAAAAUUGUUCACACAGUGAAAUCUAAAAAUCCUCAAUUAAAAUCCUUGCAUACUCAAUAUUGAAUUCAUUCAAGGUGCAGGACUACGGUAAUGUGGGGCUUCCAGAAUAGGUAACGUAACCACGAAGCCCUACACAAUAUUAAAUUGAAUUCUUGGCAACUUGCGAUUCCUGCCGAAUUAGGGCAAACAUACCCGUUGAAGAAAGUAUGUGCUAUCUAGAUCCAGAAACUACUUCAUAUACGAACACAUGGAAGACGAAAGUGCAGGAGAAGACGAAGGCGACGGGGACAUUAAUAGAUUAACCGCCAACAUCAACAUCCAUGGCAGCGAGGAUGAAAUAACCAUGGCAGAAUAUGAAAUGCACAGAACCCACAAGAAAUUUGUAGUAAGGCAGCUGCCUUCAAAGGGUCUCUCAUUUCAGGUAUGGCCUGCAGCCUCUGCUCUGUGUUGGUUCCUUGAUGAAAUGUAUUGGCACCACCCGACCAUUGUAACUGCUGCUGAUGAAAACACAAGAAUAUCCAGUUGCAUUGGACAAGACGUUGGAUCGAUAAAUGGGGGUGAACAAAAUUUAUCAGCAGAAGGUUAUUGUGAACUGGAUUAUGUUGCCCGACUGUUGUUACAGAGGAGGGAUGACAAGCAGGCAUUCAAGGUUCUUGAACUGGGUGCAGGUACUGGAAUGGUGGGCAUUGCUGCAGCACUGUUGGGUGCACACGUAACCAUCACUGAUCUUCCUCAUGUCCUUCCAAACAUUGAGUUCAAUGCAUCUGUCAAUGAGGAACCCCUGCAGGCUAGCAAGCAGGGGGGGAGUGUGUGUGUCAAGGCCCUCAGGUGGGGAGAAGAGGAAGAUGUCGUGGAAGUAGGGCACAAUUUUGACCUGAUUCUGGCAUCAGAUGUGGUUUAUCACGAGAACUUAUUCGAUCCUCUUCUGCUCACUCUCAAGUGGCUUCUCUUGGGUAAUGGUAGAAAGAUAGCAAUCCAAUACUACUCAUGGCUCAUCUCAGGAGGUGGAAGAAGGAUGCCCGUUUCUUUAAGAAGGCAAAUAAAUUGUUUAAUGUUCGGGUUGUGCACAGACACACUGCCCUGCCUGGAUCCAGUUUGGGAGUGAUUAUCUACUGUUUCACAAACAAGGAAACCAAAAUAAUCACAGCAUUGACCUGAUUACUUUGCAUUGGAACCUUGCAAUUUCAAUUCCUUUGGAGUGGUGUGUUCUAUGUUAAUACAGCAACCUUUGCUGGACAGAGAAAUGUAAACCCAAUUUUGGCAUAAUUUUGGAUUGGACUUGCGUUUACAAGUAAAUUGACGAGAGUUAAUAUAUCAUUCUUACACUUGCUUGAUUUGAAA